UGCGUCACCAUGGCAACCGGGGGCUGCCAGGCACUGAAGUGGGAAAACGAGGACCAGAGACAGGCAGCUUUCUGCCCUGUCCGCCCUCGAAAUUCUAAGCGCCCAGGGAGCAUCUCUGCGAGCUCGAGCCCCGACUCCUCGCCGGUCGGUGGUUGGGGUCAAACAAGAAGCUUCCCCUCGCCUCCGAGGAAACCGAAGGCGCCUUGGCGGGGGCACAAGCGCCAGACGAGGGAAAAGGGCUCCUAGUCCAAAACGGCAGGUUAAGGGAAAGCGAGGAGCUGCCCCCAACCCUAGGCGGAAGGCGGCCAGCGAGGGCUGGGCAAGACCCCGCGCGGCCUCGGACCCCCCCCUUCCGGCGCUACUCCGGGGGUCCGCAUCACCAUGGCAACCCGGGAGGCGGUGCGGCUUUCCCGCUCCGGCAGCCGUGGUCCCGCCCCUUCCGGCACUUCUCGGGGUCUCGCCUCGUCUUAGCAAACCAGCGGCUUUCGGCCGGCUCUAGCUCUCCUUCCAGCUGAGGAUCAGCAGGUUGCCAGGGAUCUGUGAGGCCACAAGAGAAACAAGGGCACAUCUUCCUAGAGAUCCAUGGAAAGAUGCAAAUUGAACUGGUGCCUGUCUGCCAGGGAAGCCUCCCCGUGGUUCUCAGAUGCCCUUCACUGUCUUUUCCGUGCCACUCUUUCAUGGAUGACCAGCUGCCUAACACCAAGACAACCCCAGGUUCUGGGGUUCACCUGGAGGCCUCACGAGACUCGGCGUUGAGCGAGACUCCUCUUCCUCACAGCUAUGAUUGUGACAGUGAGAGGACCCAAGGUGAAAUCAGCAAACUUCAGGAGGCUUCUCCUGGUGGGUUCAUGGAGCGCUGAGCUGGAUUCCACCAGGCACGAGUGGUGACAGUGUGCGUGAAUGUCGUCUGUGGGUCCCUGUACCCAUCUUCGGUCUGCGCGGGACCUUUGGCCGAGUCUAGGAACUGAAAGAACACAAGAUAGAUAGGAGGAGAAAAGCACAGGAGUUUUAUUAAUUUUUACACAUACAGGGGGGUAACUGUGGUCCACUUUAUGCUUUGAAUGUCGACCUCGCUUCUCUGCCAGCUGCAGCUUAUUUUUGAAACAGACACACUUCUCUCUCUUCCUCUCUCCCUCCCUCUCCCUAAUCUCUCUCCAUCCCUAAUCUUGGGAUUCCCUUUCUUCCCCAGUUAUCUAUCCUUGAGCACACACCCACCACCUCUUUGCCCAUGGCCAGAGUUCCCUGCCACUGUCCCCAGUAUUGGCUCUGCCCCCGAGGGCUGCCGGGGGCCCAGCUCCUCUUUCACAUAAUCCUUUAAAUUUAGGGUAUAUUGCUUUCCACCAGUCAAUCUUGCCUUAACUUCGAACACUCAUGAAAGAUCCUGUGUGUUUUGCCAGGGUGGUGUUUGGAGAUAAAUGCAGGGUGACACAUUCUUUUCAAUCUAAUUGUCACCUACUGUAUGCUGUUAUGUUUCAAGAAAAUACUUUUAACGAUACUACCCUAGGCUGGGUGUGGUAGUGCAUACCUGUAAUCUCUGUCACUCAAGAGGCUGAGGCAGGAGGAUUGCAAGUUUGAGAUCAGCCUCAACAAUUU